rnacentral:rRNA from 1 species
UACGUAGGUGGCAAGCGUUGUCCGGAUUUACUGGGCGUAAAGAGCGCGCAGGCGGUCGUUCAAGUCGCGUGUGAAAGCCCCCGGCUCAACUGGGGAGGGUCACGCGAUACUGAUCGACUCGAAGGCAGGAGAGGGAAGUGGAAUUCCCGGUGUAGUGGUGAAAUGCGUAGAUAUCGGGAGGAACACCAGUGGCGAAGGCGAGUCUCUGGACAGUUACCGACGCUGAGGCACGAAGGCCAGGGGAGCAAACGGG